rnacentral:misc_RNA from 1 species
GAUGAAGAACGCAGCGAAAUGCGAUAAGUAGUGUGAAUUGCAGAAUUCAGUGAAUCAUCGAAUCUUUGAACGCACAUUGCGCCCCUUGGUAUUCCAUGGGGCAUGCCUGUUCGAGCGUCAUUUGUACCUUCAAGCUUUGCUUGGUGUUGGGUGUUUGUCCUGAGGGACUCGCCUUAAAGUAAUUGGCAGCCAUUGUUUGGUUUUGAAGCGCAGCACAAGUCGCGAUUCAAAGCUAUACGCCCGCUUCCACAAGCCUUUUUCACUUUUGACCUCGGAUCAGGUAGGGAUACCCGCUGAACUUAAGCAUAUCAAUAAGCGGAGGA